CCUACGGGAGGCUGCAGUGGGGAAUAUUGGACAAUGGGCGAAAGCCUGAUCCAGCCAUGCCGCGUGUGUGAAGAAGGCCUUCGGGUUGUAAAGCACUUUCAGUGGGGAAGAAAGCCUUGGGGCUAAUACCCUCGAGGAAGGACAUCACCCACAGAAGAAGCACCGGCUAACUCCGUGCCAGUAGCCGCGGUAAUACGGAGGGUGCGAGCGUUAAUCGGAAUUACUGGGCGUAAAGCGCGCGUAGGCGGUCUGAUAAGCCGGUUGUGAAAGCCCCGGGCUCAACCUGGGAACGGCAUCCGGAACUGUCAGGCUAGAGUGCAGGAGAGGAAGGUAGAAUUCCCGGUGUAGCGGUGAAAUGCGUAGAGAUCGGGAGGAAUACCAGUGGCGAAGGCGGCCUUCUGGACUGACACUGACGCUGAGGUGCGAAAGCGUGGGUAGCAAACAGGAUUAGAUACCCGUGUAGUC
rnacentral:rRNA from 1 species